rnacentral:rRNA from 1 species
UAGGGAAUCUUCGGCAAUGGACGAAAGUCUGACCGAGCAACGCCGCGCGAGUGAAGAAGGUUUUCGGAUCGUAAAACUCUGUUGUUAGAGAAGAACAAGGACGUUAGUAACUGAACGUCCCCUGACGGUAUCUAACCAGAAAGCCACGGCUAACUACGUGCCAGCAGCCGCGGUAAUACGUAGGUGGCAAGCGUUGUCCGGAUUUAUUGGGCGUAAAGCGAGCGCAGGCGGUUUCUUAAGUCUGAUGUGAAAGCCCCCGGCACAACCGGGGAGGGUCAUUGGAAACUGGGAGACUUGAGUGCAGAAGAGGAGAGUGGAAUUCCAUGUGUAGCGGUGAAAUGCGUAGAUAUAUGGAGGAACACCAGUGGCGAAGGCGGCUCUCUGGUCUGUAACUGACGCUGAGGCUCGAAAGCGUGGGGAGCAAACAGG